rnacentral:lncRNA from 10 species
GGAGGCCUUGUGUGACAAACAGCGUGUCUUUUUAGCGUCCACUUAGCGUCUUCAUUCCAGCUUGGCGUCGAAAUUAACAAAGUUAGAAUUUACAGUCCUAACUAUUGGAGAAAGCAAGGGAAAUGGGAAUUGACAUAGGGAAGGCGGACGUAGGAGAAGAGCCACAGUUCAGUAAUUUCCUGCUGUAGCAAUUUAAUUUGAAGAAAGAGUGGGACGUAAGGAAAGGGGCAGACCACCCCUAUUUGUGAGGCCCCGUCAAAAGUGUAAAUGAAGGCCCACAUACUUUUUGACUGAAUAUUUAAAAGUUGUAAAUGAAGCUAUAUACUAAAGGAGAUACGUUCUAGCCUCCUACCUUAAAUAUAUCUUCCUAACAGUCUGGAAGAUCAAGUCCGAAUUUAGAAUUCUAGGACUGGAAUUCCAGGCAAGCAGAGCUGCCAAAAUCCUUCUCUACGCGUUCCACUUCCCCUUUACACCGCAUGGGCGGACACUUGGCCACCGCCGGGGCCUUGGGGUGAGCACACGCUCAGGAGGAUGGACCUAAAGAAACGCUUUUGCAAGCCCUGAAAACAACAGUGAUGAAGUAGAACUGCAUGUAACAAUAUGGAUACAUCUGAAAAAUACGCUGUUAAAUGAGCAAAACAGAUUGCAGACGGAUAGGCUCAUAGGUGGAAGGAAGUUGCCUUGUCUCAGAUCAGACUUUGGAGUUGGACUUUUCAGUUAAUGCUGGAAUGAGUUAAGACUUUGGGGGACUGUUGAGAAGGCAUGAUUGUGUUUUGAAAUGUGAGAAGAACAUGAAAUUUGGAAGAGGCCGGGGUGGAAUUGACAUGGUUUGGCUCUGUGUCUCCACCCGAAUCUUAUGUUGAAUUAUAAUUCCCAAUGUUGGGGGAGGGACCUGGUGGAAGGUGACUGGAUCAUAGGGACAGAUUUUCCCCUUGCUGUUCUGCUGUUCUCAUGAUAGGGAGUGAGUUCUCACAAGAUCUAGUCGUUUAAAAGUGUGUGGCAUUUCUCCCUUCACUCUCUUGCUCUCUUGUCGCCAUGUGAAGAUGUGCUUGCUUCCCCUUCACCUUCUGCCAAGUUUCCUGAGGCCUCUCAGCCAUGCCUCCUGUACAGCCUGUGAAACUGUGAGUCAAUUAAACCUCUUUUCUUUAUAAUCUACCCAGUCUCGGGUAGUUCUUUAUAGCAAUGUGAGAAUGGAUUAAUAUACCUGCCACCCUUUUUGCUGGGACCAUGCCUCAGAGUUUACAAAUCUGCUCCCCAUGUACUAUCUCCUGGAAUCCUCAACAAUGCUGUGAGACAUUCCCACUUUGAGUUGAUAAGAUGGGGCUCAGAGAGGCAAGACCUUACGCUUGCCUAAGGUCACCCAGCUGCUCUUUCCUUUCUCCUGCACAGUUACAUCAGAAGCCAGU